CGGGGCUAAUACCGGAUAAUACAUGAAACCGCAUGGUUUCAUGAUGAAAGACGGUUUUGCUGUCACUUAUAGAUGGACCCGCGGCGUAUUAGCUAGUUGGUAAGGUAACGGCUUACCAAGGCAACGAUACGUAGCCGACCUGAGAGGGUGAUCGGCCACACUGGGACUGAGACACGGCCCAG
rnacentral:rRNA from 1 species